GGGCUCUUAGCUUAGCUGGUAGAGCGCCUGCUUUGCACGCAGGAGGUCAGGGGUUCGACUCCCCUAGAGUCCA
rnacentral:tRNA from 1 species